AGUCCAUGGUGGGGGCAUCGCCUGAGCAAAUCCUUGUAUCUCUCCCAUGCCUCAUACAAUGGUUCACUCUCAAGUUGGGCAAAGUUAGCUAUCUCAAUGCGCAU
rfam:Populus trichocarpa isolate Nisqually-1 chromosome 11, whole genome shotgun sequence.